rnacentral:lncRNA from 1 species
AUAGAUAAAUAAAUAUUUAUUUAUUUAUUUAACAGUCCACAGUCCAUUUACAGCCAAGGCCCGUUAAGCCCAAAUACCUUAGACCUAUUACCCUAUACCAGUUACAACCUUAACCCAAAUAACUUACAAACCCAAACUUAACCUACAGCAGACCCAAACCCGAAGGCCCAAAUAGUAGGGGCCCAAAUGACUUUCAAAUAGGGUUAGAAACCCUAGCUCUCCUUCUUCUCGAGCCGCCACUGAUUCUAGAAGGUUCAGGGAGGUCUGUCCAACUCCCGAAUCGAGGCCACCAUUCAAGGCUCUACCUCCGUAAUCAGCGCCUCACCGUCACCACGAAUCCUCACCACUAGACUUCAGGCCUCCAUUAACGCCAGCAGCCCUUAAAUCAUCGAGAUUCUCGCGGUCACCUGCAAGAAAAGGAAAGAAAUCAAAGCAAGAUUGCAGUAAAUAUAUUAGAACAGAGUUUGGAAAGAAAUCUUUCGAUUUCUUUCCAAAAUAGGCAGUAAAUCAAGGCUAUAAAGCCUUUUCUCAAAUCUGUAAAAGGACACGCUAAUACACAGAGAAAUAGAGAAAAACACACCACAAAAAGCAUUGUACACUAAACAUUUGCAAUAAUAUUUCAGAAGGUGAUUAUUUUCCAUACUUUAUUUUCUUUUCUCUUUUACGAAUUUAUGAAUCGUUCUUGUUUUUAAAAAAACAGUAACGUUUAAAAGAAAAGAGGUUACCUGUGGAAGGACGAAGGUUUUGAACCUUCAGACACGCAUACAGUGGCGCGUGAGGCGCGUGUGCAAGCAUUGCACUGUAGCCGGAGGCCAGAGCCGGGGACCUCUCUCUUCCCCUCUGCAGAGCGUUUUAGGCCUUUUUUUUUUAAGACCGGUGUAAAAAUGAUUUUUAAGCUUAAAGUUUGGCUUAUAUAGCCCUUUCAAAACGGUCCCAUUUUAGCUUAGUCUGAUAAGCUUAAAACGACGACGUUUUAAGGCCCCAGGAUCUGCGCGUUGACCCGAUUACCCGGGAAAGAUCCGCGUGUUUUUGAGAAUUGGGUUAAUUACCCAAUUAGUCCCUCCACCUUUUUUAUGUUUACAAUUUUGUUUUGUUUUACUUAUGAUUUAGCCUUGAUAUUUUGUUUCAGUUUUAAUUUAGUCCUUGUAGUAACUGUUUUAAGUCCUGGAUUUAAAACGAUGCCGUUUAGGGACAAGGGAAAAUUUCCCGAUGAGUCCCUAGGGUUUUAAUGGCCGUUUCAAUUAGGUCUGAUCUCAGUUAUUUUCUUAUUAAAUUAGCCACUGACUUUUAUUUAUGUUCAAUUUAGUCCCUUUUAUCCCUUUUAAUCUAUUUAUAAUCUAUUUAUUUUUAACUUUAUACAUAUACUAUUAUAUUUUAAUAUGAAUAUACGUAUUAUAUAUCUUAUAAUUAUUUACUUAUAUUUUAUUAUAUUAUAUUACUUCAUAUCUUUCUAUUAUUAUAUUAAUAUAUAUUUUAACAUAUAUCAUUACUUAUUAUUUAUUAUAGUAUAUUUUUAUCACAUAAUGUUUAUAUAUCUUUAUACUAUUUAUUAUUUUACAUUUUAACAAUAUAUUAUUUCAUAUUGUAAAUUAUAAUUAUUUUAUAUUUUAUACCUUUAUAUAUUUUUAUCUAUAUAUUAUUAUCAUUAAAGGUUUUAACUUGUAUUAUAUACGUAUCUUUAUUUAUAUGUUAAUAAUUACUUUACUCAUAUUCUAUUAUUACACAUUUUGAAGAUAUUAUAAUAUUAUAAUUUAUAUAUUACGUAUAUUUCAUCAUUAAUUACUUACUUCAUAUUAUUCUAAACUUAUACUUAUAUAUAUUAUAGUUAUUUUAUUAUAAAUAUAAAUUCUUUUACACAUUUGAUAUUUUAUAUACCAAUAUAUUUUAUAUUUUUAUAUAAUUAUUAUUCUUAUAAAUAUAUUUUUAUUAUAUAUUAUAUUUUAAAUAUGUUAUUAAAUAUCACAUUUUUUUUAUAUAGGCUCAUUCUAUUUAUCAAUUGUUUAUAUUAUACAUAUAUUUUUAAAACUUAUGUUUUUAUUAUUAUACAAUAUUUGCUUUUACUUUAGAAUUAAUAUAUUAUUGCUAUGUUAGGUAUUUUAUAUGUUAUGUAAUAUCUUAGACUUUUAUAAUUUAUUUUCAAAUGCAUAUUUUUUCUAUAUAUAUAUAUGUGUCAAAAUUGUAUAUCAUGCAUCAUUUAUAUGUUUAAAUAUAUGUUGAAUUACAUGUUUAUGGGUUUUUACCUAUUCUUCUUAAAUAUAUAUCGCGUUUUAUGUAUAUUUUUCUUUUUUAAAAUUUAUCAUGUUUUAUUUCUUAUAUGUUAAUUAGUGUAUGAUAUUUAUGCUGUUGUGCUUUUAUUUACCUAUUAUUAUAACAUGUUAUCUCGUAUGUUAUGUUAAUAUGCUCCUUCAUGCAUCGGUUUUAAAAACGGGACUCCAAAGUUUUCAAAAAUAAAAAGGCAAUGCUUGGUGUUUGGAAGCUUCGAGAAAAGUAGUGCCCUAACUUAUUGGGUUGCAAUUUUUCUCGUUGAGUUCUAAUAGUCAAGUACCCUUCUAAGUUUUUAAUAUUUUCAAAAUACGAGCAACUGUCUUGGAAUUUCAAAGCAUUGUGUCCUAACUUACUGGAUGUGGCGUUUUGUCGUUUCGAGAUAGGGAUUUCCAAAAAAGGCUAACCUAAUGUCAAUAUUUUGAUACAAGUGAACCCCAAUUUCUAAAAUCAAAAUAUUUUAAAGAUGAUUGCAUCUUAAAAUUUUUAAAUUUCCGACCUUAAAGACAUUUCAUAAAUUAUUAGGUACCAAUUUUUGGGCGUUACGAGGGUGCUAAUCCUUCCUUGUACGUAACCGACUCCCGAACCCGUUCUUUUUAUUUCGUAGACCAAAACUAAUGAUUUUAAAACAAAAUGUUUUAAAGGUGAUCCAAUCACACCUAAAAAGUUUGGUGGCGACUCCCAUUUUCGUUUUUCUCAAAGUCGAUUCCCAUUUUCCAAAACUCGAUUUAAAAAUGGUUUCGACAGCUUGGCGACUCCACUGGGGAAUAAUAAGAGAGUCAAGCUGUGUAAUUGAUUAUCUCUUGUCUUAAUGUCGGAAAUUAAAAAUUUUAAAAUUUAAUCCUCUUUGCAUUACAUGUGUUUGUAUUAUUGCAUGUGUUGCUAUAUUCUGAUACGCAUCUGCAUGAUCGUUGUGGUCACACCCUUAAGUGGGAGUGAGAAACUACGCCUUCGUGAGGUUUUUGCCUCCGUGCAGGAUAGUAGAUCACUUUCGGGAUACAUCCGUACCUGUGGUUUCGUGAGAUUUCCAUCUCCGUGUAACCAUAGGGGAAUGUAUUCCCCUGAACUGAGCUCGAUUCAAAUGAGCCUAUAAUGGGUGAGAAUCGAGGAAUCUGCUGGUUCGGGUACCUCAAACUUUAGAAACAACCUCAUAUAGAAAAAUCGUAAGAGCCCAACUUAGUUAGAGUAAAACUUUAGAUAUUACCCUUAUAAAUUAUUGUUGAGAUUUAUUGAUAUCAUGUGAUACUAAUUAUUUCUUUUCUUUUGUUUUGUGCAUGUCAUUUUGCAUUUAAAAGGUAUCGAUUCACGGUCAGUUUCUAAGAGAGAACGGACUUCUUGAUAGAGUGGGGGGCAACGCCAACGUCCAUAGAUGGUCUGAGCAAACUCAACUAGAAAAGGGAAAUAAUAUAGCUGUGGGAUACGUGUCGGAGCUGUCAGAUUACACUCGUAUUAGUGUCACGCAGAAUAAUCUCCAAGAGCUUAAGGAAAUUUGGGAUCAGUGGGGCAAAAAGAUCAAGCAGUUAUUCUACGAUAAUUACGAAGACUUACCUUACUUGCUAGAUAUUCAGGUAGACGAGCACUUAUUCCGAGCCCUUGCUCGGUUUUGGAACCUGGCGUACAGUUGUUUCACUUUUGGGGAAGUAGACUUGGUACCUACUGUGGAGGAGUACACUGCCUUAUUUCGUUGUCCCAAGUUUCAGAAUGAUAGGAUCUAUUCUCGAGCUACUUGUGUCCCUACCUUUUGGAAGAAAUUGAUGAUUAUUACGGGGAUGAGCGAGCAGUGGAUCACGGCUAGAAUUAAAGAGAAGGGUGAGUGCAAGUACAUUUCGUGGGACGCUUUGAAAAAUCUGAUUCUAACACACCCUGAUGAGACGAAGAAGGUAGAUGUUUUUGCUUUAAGUUUGUAUGGACUGAUGGUUUUUCCUAGGGCUUUGGGAUAUGUAGACAAGGCAACCACGUAUCUUUUUCAUCGACUCAGUAAAAGGGUCACUUUCGUCCCUGCGAUUUUGGCGGAAACAUUCAGGUCCUUAGGCGCAUGUAAGAGGGCUGGUGCAGGCAGGUUUGUUGGUUGUGCUCAGUUACUUUUAGCUUAGUUCUACAGUCAUUUCUGAUUGAUAGAUAGGGUGGUUUUUCGGGUCUUCUUUGAGGAUUAUUCACCGUUGAAGGACCUAAUAGCUUCAACUAGGAGAGUUGAUGUUCCAGAAGAGAAUUGGAUAGCGCUACUUCAGAACCUUCAGUCGAAAGAUGUUGAGUGGAGGGCUCUGUAGAUGAUUCCUAGUGAGAUUCUUUACCGAUGCGGCAGUUUUGAUUGGGUCCCUCUGUUGGGAAUUUGAGGUGCCAUUGGUUAUGCCCCUUUGCUCGUGCUAAGGCAGCAUGGGUUGAGACAGUUCGUACCAGUGUCUCAUGGGUUGGCUCAAAGUGAAUUUGUAUACAGAGGAGCCGAUUACAAGAGGAAGGUUAGCGAAGUUUCUAGUGCCUGGAACAAGACUUUUCGGUUGAAAGGAGUAGAUAUUAGCCCUGCUACGACUCCGGAGUAUGUUGAAUGGAGAGGCAGAAGGAUUAAUGAUAACAUCCCUAAGCCAAGCGUGGAAUGAGCUCGACCGAUAGAAGAAUAUUUGCAAGUGAUGCCCUCGGAGUUAGAAAUUAUGAAGUAAGAGUUCGAGAGAAAGAACUUGGAGCUCUAAAAGAGGAUAACAAAGCUUGAAGAAGAAAAGAUGUACUUGAGUUUAGACGUCGACGUUCAAAGGAUGGAGGUCGAGAAAGAGAGAAAAGAAAAGAGGAAGAUUGAGAAAGAUCGAGAUGAUCUAAAAAAGCAUUACAAAAAGGCACAAGUAUCCUUGAGGAGAGCGAGAGUAGGAGGGUCUUCAGAUCAAUUGCAGAAAGAGGUCCAAGAGGAAAAAGCUAGAGCCGAGUAUUGAGAGAGGAAGUUCCAAGAGAUGCGAUCGUAGAAUUUGGCAUUAGAGGAAGAGAAUAAAGGGUUGAAGACCAAGGUAACUGAGCUUGAAAGAUCCUUCGUUGGCAUCGAAACCAUGAUCCUACGAUCGAGUUAAAAGAGCUAAGAAGUAAGGUUGAAAAUUUGGAAGUGGCAUUGCAUGAUGGUGAACUUCAGAUUGAGCAGCUCGAGGUGCGAGAAGAUUAUCUAAAGGGAGAGGUUCAGCAAUCUAGAGGACAGGUCAGAGAAAUGGAUUACGUCAUUGGUGAAGCCUUAGCCCAGAUUCGAGAGGUUGCUGAAUAUGUUCGAGACUUAGCAGUACGAGCUGAUGCUUUGAGUAUGAUGUAUGAAUCAACGUCUGAUAAAGGUCGAGAGUUAGCCCUUUUGUUAGAAAAAGUUAGAACUUUGAGCAUUAGGGCAAAGGCGUAUGUGUAAUCCAUUUAUAUGUAAAGAUAUUUUUUUUCUAAAUAAAGUUUUCUAAAUGAGAUUGAAUCGAGAUCGAUGCCUUUUUGCAUUCAUGCAUUUGCAUUACAUCAUAUCAUAUGCAUUCAAAGUUAUAGAAAGACCCUAAUUAGUUAAAGUUUACUUUUAGAGAGGUAGAAAAGAAAAUAUAGAAAUCACACAUCCUUACGGCACUCGCACUAAAACUAAGAGUAUGGAUCAAAGGUUCGAACAAUUGCAAAAGGAUAUGCAAGACCAAUUGCAAGAACAGUUGGCCAAAAUAUAGAAUGACAUGAGGGAGCAAAUGCUAGAUGCUCAGAGGAAUAUGAUGGCUGAAAUGGCUCAGCUGUUAAGGGUCACUGAUAAAGGAAAAGCUCCCAUGGCAAUCACUAAAGAGGAGAAUGAGGGUCCUCCUUCGGGUUUUACUCCGCCUCAUGUGCCACUGCAAAUCGAGGCACCUCCUAAAAGGCCAUCUGUCACUGUGAGACCUCAACAUGGGCCGGUUAAUGCUGGAAUCCCCGUGAAUUUCCCAUCUGGGUCGGGAAAUAAUUUAGGCGAUAGCCUGAUCAACCCUAUCACUCCUGAUCUGGAUCUAAUGGAGAAGGAAAGAAUGGCAACUGAAUCUUCAAAAUAGUUGGAGGAUCAUUACAAGUGGUUGGAGGAGAAGUUUAGGGUUUUAGAAGGCGCUGGUAAUCAUUAUGGGAUUGAUGCCAAAGACUUAAGUUUAGUUCCAGACUUGGUACUUCCUCACAAAUUCAAGAUGCCGGAGUUCGAAAAGUACAAUGGGACUACUUGCGCAGAGGCACAAAUAACAAUGUUUUGUAGGAGAAUGAUUGGGUAUGUGAACAAUGAUCAACUAUUGAUCCAUUGUUUUCAAGAUAGCUUAAUAGGAGUAGCGGCUAGGUGGUACAAUUAGUUGAGCCGUGCAAGAAUCAGUUCAUGGAGAGAUCUUGCACAAGCCUUCAUGCAACAAUAUAACUGUGGCUGAUAUGACGCCAGACAGGAUCACGCUUCAAAAUAUGGAGAAAAAGCCUAAUGAAAGUUUUAGGCAAUACGCACAACGAUGGAGGGAGGUGGCAAUGCAAGUACAACCACCACUGUUAGAAAAGAAGACCACCAUGUUAUUUAUCAACACUUUAAAGGCGCCGUUCAUCACUCACAUGAUUGGAAGCACCACGAAAAGUUUCGCGGAUAUAGUUAUGGCAGGAGAGAUGAUUGAGAACGCCAUAAGGGGCGGUAAAAUUGAGGGGAAAUAGCUAAAAGAUCGGCAUCAAUGAGAAAGAACAACGAGGUGAACAACAUGAAUAGCCUCAACUCGAGGACAAUCACAAUUGGUCAACCCAAAGUAGCUGAGGUCGAGCAACAAAGUACUCGAAGACAGGAAUCGGGCACAAGACAGAAUUCGGAAAGGAUACAAUUCACGCCUAUCCCUGUGAUGUAUCGUGAGAUUUAUCAAAGCUUAUACGAUGCAUAUGCCAUUGCACCAUUUCACUUAAAACCACUACAGCCACCGUACCCCAAAUGGUAUGAUGCGAAUGCUAAAUGCGAAUAUCACGCGGGAAUACCGGGGCAUUCGAUUGAAAACUGCACCGGAUUCAAGAAGGUUGUGGAGAGGCUUAUCAAGAUGGGGGUUGCGAAAUUUGAUAGUACCCCUAAUAUUGAAAAUCCGUUACCAGAUCAUAGCAAUCAAGGAGUAAAUGCCAUCAAUGAAACAAGGGAAGAAAGAAUCAAGGAAGAUAUUGCUGAGGUGAAGACACCCAUGAAAGUAAUAUGGGAGGAGAUAGUGAAGAAAGGUAUGUUGACCUCUGGAAAAGGUAGAAGAGGAAUAGAGAAUUAUUGUGAAUUCCCUGGAGAUGUGGAUCAUAUGAUCCAAAAUUGUGAGAAGUUCAAGAUCAUGGUGCAAGGCCUUAUGUUUAACAAAGAGCUACAGAUUUUUGAAGGUAGUUCUUACAAAAGACAAAUAUGUGUGCUGGAAAAUGAACGACAAGGAACCAGCCGGCCAAGAAUUAUUAUUUUCUUACUAGGGAAUAAUGAAGUGGGGGCGUAAACCAGGCCCAGGGUUGUCAUCCAUAAACCCAAUUAUUUCCCUUACAAGGAUGGCAAGAGGGUGUCAUGGAGUUAUGAUUGCAGUGUAACAGUACCUAAAGGGGAGAGUAUAGCGAGUGCAUCUAGGGGAGUGCAAAAUGAAGGUUCCCAUACGCGGAGUGGGAAACGUUAUGAUACAGGGGGCGUCUGAGUGGAACCCACAAAGACAAAAGGUGUCGAGGUUGAGAAGGAGAAAGAGACCGAAGUACCCAUCAAUGAGCCGGUGAAGGAAGAGGAGGCUAAGGAGUUCCUAAAGUUCCUUAAGCAUAGCGAGUAUAGUGUGGUCGAGCAGUUGCGUAAGCAGCCAGCGUGUAUAUCAGUAUUAGCCCUACUUCUGAGUUCUGAGGUACAUCGGGAUGCAUUAUUGAAGGUGCUUAACGAAACAUAUGUCACCCACGACAUAUCCGUUAACAAGUUAGACCGGUUGGUAAAUAACACCAGUGCUGACAAUUUCAUCUACUUCAAUGAUGAUGAAAUUCCAACUAGGGGCAUAGGGUCAACCAAAGCCUUGCACAUCACUACUCGAUGCAAAUGAUACACGCUGCCAAGUGUACUCGUUGUAAUGGGUCUGCUUUGAACGUCCUUCUAUUAUCCACAUUGAACAGAUUACCCAUUGAAAGUUCGCAUAUGAAAACAUGUCACAAUGUGGUAAGAGCUUUUGAUGGAACUGAAAGAAAAGUGAUGGGACGAAUCGACAUCCCUUUAGAAAUUGGGCCAAAUACAUAUGAAGUUGAUUUCUUGGUAAUGGAUAUCAAGCCCUCCUAUAAUUAUUUAUUGGGGAGACCAUGGAUACACUCGGCAGGAGCGGUGCCCUCCUCAUUGCACCAAAAUUGAAGUUAGUGACAGAUAGACGGUUAAUAACCAUCAAUACGGAGGAAGAUAUUAUAGCAACAGUCACUAGCAAGACCCCUUACGUCGAGGCAAAUGAAGAGGCUAUUGAGUGUUCUUUCCGCUCUUUAGAAAUCAUCAAUGCAACCUUCAUUUUGGAAGGAAGUGAGGUGUCGGUACCCAAAAUGUCUAGGUCCACAAGGAUGGCCUUGCAAAUGAUGACGUGGAAGGGAGCAUUGCCAGGAAAAGGAUUAGGAAGACGGUUGCAAGGAGGGAUUCAAAUCCCAAAACUGAUUGAGAAGAAGGAUCGCUUUGGUUUGGGCUUCAAGUUAGACCAUAAGCACAAGAGGCAAGAAAUUGAGAGGCGCCAAGCGAGAAGAAAGGCGCGUUUGAACGGAGGAGAAGUGAAGUGGGAACCGAUGACAUUCCCACCUAUAUCCAAAUCCUUUAAGUCAGGAGGAUUACUGGUAGAAGAAAGUCAUCAGAUUAAUACUGUACAUGAUGAGGGAUUGGAGCAAGGAAACCUCGAGGGCAUUCGCCCUUACGAACCGGAGAGCUCUCUGAACAAUUGGACUGCGGAGGACCUUCCUGUAGUCUUUAGGAACUUUUCAGAGUAAUUCUCGAAACAUGCCUGUUACUCUAGAGCCUAGGAGUAGUAAGAUUACGUUUGUGAAAAUAGGCUUAUGUUCAUCUAUUAUUAUUUAAAUAAAACAUAACUUUUAUCAAUUUAAAUGAGUAUUGUAUCAUUUUUAUCAACUAAUAUUCUUUUAAAUUUUGGCAAUUAUUAUUCUUUUAUUCAUAGCACAUAAACAAUCAUUCUUAGAUUCAUUCAUUCUUUGUAUAUUCUUUCAUACCCCCACAGGUCCCUAGAUAUCAAUGAUAUGAGCACUGAUACUGCAGCUCCUGAUUUCUCUUGCGAACAAGACAUGUGUUUAGAGGAACCUCAGGAUUUUGAAGAUGUUCAAGAUUGUGACGUAUCUCUUGAUCUGUUAAGAAUGGUAAAGCAGGAGGAGAAACAAAUCAUGCUACAUGAGAAAGAGGCAAUAGAGAAUAUAGCCCUAGAGGAAGGGAAGGAGUUGAAAAUUGAAACACUGAUUACCGAGGAUACAAGGCAUGGUCUGGUUGAGUUGCUUCAAGAGUUCAAGGAUAUCUUCGCCUGGUCAUAUCAGGAUAUGCCUAGAUUGAGUAUUGACAUUGUAGUACAUCGUCUUCCGAUAAGACAGGAUUGUAAGCCUGUCCAACAGAAGUUACGAAGAAUGAGGCCAGAUAUUGUUCUAAAAAUAAAGGAUGAAGUCAAGAAGCAGUUCGAUGCAGGAUUCUUGCAGGAAGUGAAGUACUUCGAAUGGGUAGCUAACAUUAUACCAGUUCCUAAGAAAGAUGGAAAUGUACGAAUGUGUGUUGAUUACAGAGAUUUAAAUAAAGCUAGCCCCAAAGAUAAUUUCCCUCUGCCACACAUAGACACUUUAGUGGACAACACAACAGGAUAUUCGUUGUUUUCCUUCAUGGAUGGUUUCUCAGGAUACAAUCAGAUAAAGAUGCAUCCAGAGGACAUGGAUAAAACCACCUUCAUAACCUUGUGGGGCACCUUCUGUUACAAAGUAAUGCCAUUUGGACUAAAGAAUGCAGGGGCAACAUACCAACGAGCCAUGGUAAACUUAUUCCAUGACAUGAUGCAUAAGGAUAUUGAGGUAUACGUUGAUGAUAUGAUUGCCAAGUCGCGAAUAGAGAAAUAGCAUAUUGAGGUCUUGAGAAGAUUGUUCUUGAGAUUGAGAAAAUUUCAAUUGAAGCUCAAUCCAGCAAAGUGUACUUUUGGAGCUAGAUCGGAAAAACUAUUGGGUUUCGUAGUCAGUGAAAAGGGAAUAGAAGUUGAUUCAGAAAAAGUCAGGGCAAUACAAGAUUUGCCUCCACCACAUACUCAGAAGGAAGUUCGAGGAUUCCUAGGAAGGUUGAAUUACAUCGCUCGGUUCAUUUUACAACUAACCGAGAAAUGGGAUCCUAUCUUUCGCCUCCUCAGAAAGCACAAUCAAGGUACUUGGGAUGAGGAGUGUCAAAAUGCUUUUGAAAAGGUCAAGUAGUAUUUGUUGAAUGCUCUGGUAUUAUCUCCACCAAGCCCAGAUAAACCGUUAAUACUGUACUUGUUAGUGUUCAGUAAAUCUAUGGGAUGUGUACUUGGUCAGCAUGACGAAUCAGGGAAAAAGGAAAAGGCAAUUUAUUAUCUCAGUAAGAAAUUUACUGACUGUGAAAUGAGAUAUCCACCAAUUGAAAAGUUGUGCUGUGCGCUGAUUUGGACAACUCGGAGAUUAAGACAGUACAUGCUAUACCAUACUACUUGGCUCAUCUUAAAGCUUGAUCCAUUGAAAUACAUGAUGGAGUCAACGGCUCUAAAUGAGAGAAUGGCGAGAUGGCAAAUUUUGCUUUCAGAGUUUGAUAUAGUCUACAUAAGUCAGAAGGCUAUAAAAGGAAGUGCGGUAGCAGACUUCUUGGCCAGUAGGGCUCUAGAGGAUUAUGAGCCAUUAAAUUUUGAUUUUCCAAAUGAGGAGUUAAUGUGUAUAGCAACGACCAAAGAUUCUCCUUGGAAGCUAAAUUUUGAUGGGGCUUCUAAUGCAGUCGGAAAUGGAAUUGGGGCAGUUUUGGUAUCCCCGAACGGCGAUCAUUACCUGUUCACGUGCAAGUUGGAUUUUGAUUGCACGAACAAUAUGGCUGAGUAUGAAGCAUGCAUCAUGGGACUUCAAGCAGCUAUAGAGCGAGGUAUAAAAACCCUAGAAGUAUACGGGGAUUUUGCGUUGGUAAUUUAUCAGCUUAGAGGUGAAUAGGAGACAAGGGACCCUAAAUUGAUCAAUUAUCGAAAGGUAGUUUUGGGGUUACUUGAGAAGUUUGAUGACAUCACCUUCAAUUAUCUCCCACGAGAUGAAAAUCAGAUGGCAGAUGCUUUAGCAACCUUGGCCUCAAUGAUUAAGGUGAAUAAAGAGGAAGAGAUGAGACCAAUUCAAAUGAGCGUCUACGAGGCUCCAGCUCAUUGUUGCAAUAUUGAGAAGGAAGAAAAGGAUGAUAACCCUUGGUAUCAAGAUAUAUUACGAUAUGUAAGAGAUCGUAAAUACCCUGAACAGGCCAAUGAAAAUGACAAACGAACUUUGAGAAGGUUAACUUGCGACUAUGUCUUGGACGAAGAUAUCCUGUACAAGAGAAGGAAAGACCAAGUACUUUUGAAAUGUGUCGUUGCUGUGGAAGCUAAGCUAAUUUUAGAAGAAGUUCAUGAAUGUGUAUGUAGGACGCAUGCAAAUGGGUUCGCGAUGGCAAGGCAAAUCAUGAGGUUUGGCUAUUAUUGGGCCACUAUGGAAGGGGACUGUAUCAACUAUACCAAGAAAUGCCAUAAGUGUCAGAUUUAUGGGGACAAAAUUCAUGUACCACCUUCACCUUUGCAUGUUAUGACCUCUCCAUGGCCCUUUUCCAUGUGGGGCAUGGAUGUCAUUAGACCAAUAUCAUCGAAAGCUUCGAAUGGAUAUUGGUUUAUCUUCGUGGUAAUUGACUACUUUACAAAAUGGGUAGAGGCCGCUUCUUACGCGAAUGUUACUAAGUCAGCUGUGAGUCGAUUCUUAAAGAAAGAGAUUAUUUAUCGGUAUGGAAUGCCUGAAAGGAUCAUAUCCGACAAUGCAUUGAACUUGAACAACAAAACAAUAGUAGAGGUUUGCAACCAGUUCAAGAUCAAGCAUCACAAUUCUUCUCCUUAUCGUCCAAAAAUGAAUGGGGCAGUGGAGGCCGCCAACAAGAACAUUAAGAAAAUAGUGGGGAAAAUGACUGAGACCUAUAGAGAUUGGCAUGAGAAGUUACCGUUUUCACUCUUGGCCUAUCGAACAUCUGUCAGAACCUCUACUGGGGCAACCCCAUUCUCGUUAGUUUAUGGGAUGGAAGCAAUGUUACCUAUUGAAGUAGAAAUACCUUCUCUUCGAAUUUUGAUGGAGAUAAGGUUAGAUGAAGCUGAAUGGGUUCAAUCCCGAUAUGACCAGUUGAACUUGAUUGAGGAAAAGAGGCUAAGAGCCAUUCGACAUGGUCAGAUGUAUCAGAAGCGAAUGAUGCGAGCUUAUGACAAGAAAGUUCGACCAAGAGAGUUCCACGAAGGAGACCUUAUACUGAAAAAGAUCCUUCCUAUUCAAAAAGACUUUAGGGGGAAAUGGAUGCCGAAUUGGGAGGGGCCGUACGUCGUGAAGAAAGCUUUCUCUGGCGAUGCAUUGAUCUUAACGAAAAUGGAUGGGAAAAGUUUACCCAAUCCAGUGAACUCAGACUCAGUUAAAGAAUACUUUGUCUAAAGGAGAAGAGAAUCCAAGGUGAAAACCCGCAAAGGGUGCCUUGAGAUUUAAAAAAAAUAAAAAAAUAAAAAAAACGAAGAGGCCAAGGUGAAAACCCACAAAGGGCGCCUUGUGACCAAAGGGGUUUUAAGUUGAAAACCCGAAAGGGCGACUCAAAUUUUGAAGCAUCCGGUAAUCUUACUCAACAAAGAACGAAGAACGUUGCAUACUGGGGCAUCGACAGAGUACUUUGAAUCUUCUAAACACAUGCCUUCAUGAAGUUGAUGUAUAAGCGCUCAAGCGGCGAUAUCUAGGGUAUCUAAUUUUGGCUUGUUUGCUAUUUUUAGAUUUUUUUUUCUCUUCUCAAAGAUAGGCUUUCAGAUUAAUUUCCUUUGUAUCUUUUUCGAUAAUUCAUUCAAAUCCAAUUAUUCUUAAAGUUUAUUCAUCUUUUAUUUUUCUUUAAGUAUGUUGCAUUGAAAUAAUGAUAGAUGAACUAAAUAUGUUCACAAACGAAGUUUUGCGCAUUACUCUGGAAUUUCUAGAUAAUACAAGAAACUAAAACAGGACAAUUGUUCGAGAAAUUCACGUAAGGAAUGAAGGAAUUCAAGGAAUUUCUUUCUUCCAGUCCAAAAUGAAAAUGGACAAAACUAAUGAUUCAAUUCUAAGGAAAGAUUAUCUUACAGACAUCCUCAGUGGAUCGUAGCAUUGGAGGAGGGAGUACAGGCCUACAGGCUGGGCAAGAAUAAUACUUUGAGAAAAGAAAAGACAAAUGAAGGAAUGAGUGGUGACGUCUAGGAUAGGAGUCAUGUUCACAACAUUUUGCAUCGUAACAUGUUUAAUUAGGAACAUUCGACUCACUUCGAUCAUAGCAUCCUAAUUAUCAGGCAUAAUUAUUCUACAGGUUAUCAAAGACGACGCGCCUUAAUCCCCUAAGCAGUAGGGUAAUAGGCCGCAGCAUAGCAGAUCUGGCUGAAAGAAGAUCCAAGAUGGUUUGGCAUCCUUGUGCUUACAAGGAGAAAAUCGAAGACAUAGCUGAUUUGGCUUUCACGUAUUUACGAUGAAGCAAAUCUAAGAUGAUUUGGCAUCUCUGUAAUGUCAGAGAACAAAUCGAAGUCUGGCAUCUCCACUUCAACGGGAAGCAGAUACAUAGCAGAUCUCACCUUCAGAUGUUUAUACUGAAGCAGAUCCAAGAUGAUUUGGCAUCCUUGUGCUUAUAAGAAGCGAAUCGAAGACAUAGCUGAUUUGGCUUUCACGUGUUUACGAUGAAGCAAAUCUAAGAUGAUUUGGCAUCUCUGUAUUGUCAGAGAACAAAUCAAAGUCUGGCAUCUCUACUUUAACGGGGAGCAGAUACAUAGCAGAUCUCACCUUCAGAUAAUUUCACUGAAGCAAGAUCCAAGAUGAUUUGACAUUCUUGUGCUUACAAGGAACAAAUCGAAGACAUAGCUGAUUUGGCUUUCACAUGCUUACGAUGAAGCAAAUCUAAGAUGAUUUGGCAUCUCUGUAUUGUCAGAGAACAAAUCGAAGAAGCAGAUUUGGUGUCUCUGUGUUCGGCGGAGAGCAGGUCGAAGAUAUCAACAUGAUAGUCAUAAGUUUAUAGAAGCAGAUUGAAGACCAUGAUUUGAAGAGACUGGUCAAAUUUGGUCUUUUUAAAUCUUUGCUCAAUUCCCGUUAUACAGCAAUGAGCAAAGAGGGGCAGCUGUAGUAGCCCAAACUUGAUCGGGCUUGAAUAAAACAAAAGAAAAUAGAUAAAUAAAUAAAUAUUUAUUUAUUUAACAGUCCACAGUCCAUUUACAGCCAAGGCCCGUUAAGCCCAAAUACCUUAGACCUAUUACCCUAUACCAGUUACAACCUUAACCCAAAUAACUUACAAACCCAAACUUAACCUACAGCAGACCCAAACCCGAAGGCCCAAAUAGUAAGGGCCCAAAUGACUUUCAGAUAGGGUUAGAAACCCUAGCUCUCCUUCUCCUCGAGCCGCCACUGAUUCUAGAAGGUUCAGGGAGCGUCUGUCCAGCUCCCGAAUCGAGGCCACCAUUCAAGGCUCUGCCUCCGUAAUCAGCGCCUCACCGUCACCACGAAUCCUCACCACCAGACUUCAGGCCUCCAUUAACGCCAACAGCCCUUGAAUCAUCGAGAUUCUUGCGGUCACCUGCAAGAAAGGAAAGAAAUCAAAGCAAGAUUGCAGUAAAUAUAUUAGAACAGAGUUUGGAAAGAAAUCUUUCGAUUUCUUUCCAAAAUAGGCAGUAAAUCAAGGCUAUAAAGCCUUUUCUCAAAUCUGUAAAAGGACACGCUAAUACACAGAGAAAUAGAGAAAAACACACCACAAAAAGCAUUGUACACUAAACAUUUGCAAUAAUAUUUCAGAAGGUGAUUAUUUUCCAUACUUUAUUUUCUUUUCUCUUUUACGAAUUUAUGAAUCGUUCUUGUUUUUAAAAAAACAGUAACGUUUAAAAGAAAAGAGGUUACCUGUGGAAGGACGAAGGUUUUGAACCUUCAGACACGCGUACAGUGGCGCGUGAGGCGCGUGUGCAAGCAUUGCACUGUAGCCGGAGGCCAGAG